UGGGGAAUCUUGGACAAUGGGGGCAACCCUGAUCCAGCGAUGCCGCGUGAGUGAAGAAGGCCUUCGGGUCGUAAAGCUCUUUAGGUUGGGAAGAAGUGUGUGAGAGGAAAUGCUCAUGCAUUGACGGUACCGACAGAAUAAGCACCGGCAAACUCUGUGCCAGCAGCCGCGGUAAUACAGAGGGUGCGAGCGUUAAUCGGAAUUACUGGGCGUAAAGGGUGCGUAGGUUGUUGUAUGUGAGUUAUGUGAAAGCCCCGGGCUUAACCUGGGAAGUGCAUAGCAGACUAUACGACUAGAGUACAAGAGAGGGUAGUGGAAUUUCCGGUGUAGCGGUGAAAUGCGUAGAUAUCGGAAGGAACGUCAAUGGCGAAGGCAGCUACCUGGCUUGAUACUGACACUGAGGCACGAAAGCGUGGGGAGCGAACAGGAUUAGAUACCCCCGUAGUCC
rnacentral:rRNA from 1 species